rnacentral:rRNA from 1 species
GAUGAACGCUGGCGGCGUGCCUAAUACAUGCAAGUCGAGCGAACAGAUAAGGAGCUUGCUCCUUUGACGUUAGCGGCGGACGGGUGAGUAACACGUGGGUAGCCUACCUAUAAGACUGGGAUAACUUCGGGAAACCGGAGCUAAUACCGGAUAACAUUUGGAACCGCAUGGUUCUAAAGUGAAAGAUGGUUUUGCUAUCACUUAUAGAUGGACCCGCGCCGUAUUAGCUAGUUGGUAAGGUAACGGCUUACCAAGGCAACGAUACGUAGCCGACCUGAGAGGGUGAUCGGCCACACUGGAACUGAGACACGGUCCAGACUCCUACGGGAGGCAGCAGUAGGGAAUCUUCCGCAAUGGGCGAAAGCCUGACGGAGCAACGCCGCGUGAGUGAUGAAGGGUUUCGGCUCGUAAAACUCUGUUAUUAGGGAAGAACAAAUGUGUAAGUAACUGUGCACGUCUGGACGGUACCUAAUCAGAAAGCCACGGCGAACUACGU